rnacentral:rRNA from 1 species
GACGAACGCUGGCGGCGUGCUUAACACAUGCAAGUCGAACGGUGAAGUGCCUUCCUUUCUGGUGGGUGUGGAUGAGCGGCGAACGGGUGAGUACCACGUGAGUAACCUGAUCCCUCCUUCUGGAUAUCCGCAUGCCAGUGUUGAUAAUACGGGAUAUACUGAGUCUCUUGGAUGAUGGGUCUGGGACAGUUUUUGUUUCGGUGGGGGAUGGGCUCGCGGCCUAUCAGCUUGUUGGUGGGGUGAUGGCCUACCAAGGCGGUGACGGGUAGCCGGCCUGAGAGGGUGGGCGGUCAUACUAGGGCUAGGCCGCGGCCCAGACUCCUAGGGGAGGCAGCAGUGAGGAAUAUGGCACGAGGGGCGGAAGCCUGGUGCAGCGACGCCGCGUGGGGGAUGGAGGCCUGCGGGUUGUGAGCCUCUUUCGGCAGAGAAGCAGGCCUGACUUGUUUGUGGGUGGGUUGACGGUAGCUAGAUAAGAAGCGCCGGCUAACUACGUG